rnacentral:rRNA from 1 species
UUCCUUGAUCACUUCUACUCAAGAAAGUAAAGUCGUGUGCCUGAUCUCUUCUGAUCUCAGAAGCUAAGCAGGGUUGGGCCUGGUUAGUACUUGGAUGGGAGACCACCUAGGAAUACCAGAUGCGUAGGCAU